GUGGAAUGGAGAGGAGAGAAAUCUCUGAUGUCUUCAGUCUGUUUUCUGCUUUGUGUCAUAUUUGUCUUUCCAAUGAAGAAGGAACUUAGAUAAGAGAACUGAGUCUCAAGUGUCUUGUAUCUAUAUAGCUAGAGCUGGUCAGAGCCAGAAUUUGGUUACAGGACACCAAAUGAAGAACCUUCUUGCACAAAAAUGCUUCUCUUUUCUGAGUCUGCCUGAAGUUCACCAAGAUAGGAACUUUGUGGAAAAUGUGUGACCAUGACAACGAAGAACAACAAAUAUUAGAAACAAAAAGAGUAUUGUAAAUGAUAGCUUGUUAUCUCUGGUCAAACACCAUAUGAAUAGGAGGUGACUGGAAAAAACUGGUGGACCUGAAAAUGCCAUAAUAUUUAUAAUCAAUUAAAAAGAUCUUUUUCCCUAUUGAAAAAUGUCAUGCCCUUUCAAAAUGCCAACCCUCUGCUAUCUUAAGGAUGUGCUUUCAUUUGCUUAAGAAAACUCCACAAAGAAUCAUCAGGUCCCAGUAGGUGACCCAUUGGUGUCCUACGGAACCCACACCUGACUAGAAUCUGGAUUCUUCCAAUUCCUUUUCCUGUUGGUUUUCAUCCCCAGUGAAGAUCAGGAUGAUCUUUAUCACCCAAAAUCUA